CCUAUGGAGAUAAGCAGAGAGAGAUUGGAAGAGCACAUUGAGCCGGACCACAUGAAGGACAGCUUCCACACAAAGACCAGUGUGGAACAAGGACAUAUUGAGUAAGAAGGAGACCAGAAAAAUUGGAAAAAAGGAGAAACUGAAACUAAAGUUGAAAACUUUGACUUCAAAUGACCUAAAGAGUUACAGAAGAACCAGAGUAUUCUAGCAGAUUUUAACAUUUACUACUUAUGUAGAUGUGAUUAAAGCAAUGUCAUAAGAUAUAAUUCACACCUUCAGAUAUUGUUACAAACAUACACAUUGGCCUGUUAAUUUCAAGAUACUAAUGCCUGUAGUGGGCAAACUAGAUGGAGACCAUUCCAGGAAACUAUAACCAAUCACAACACGGAGUUGCGGAGUCCACUUCCAAUGAGUACAUCCACAUAACACUCCCGCACUUAAGGCUCACUGAACAUUGCAGAAGAUGGGGCUGAAAGAUUUUAAGAGCCAGAGGAUCAGGGUGUUUGCACUGAAAUUGUGUCUUCUAGUAAUGUCAGAAGCCAAACCUAGAGAGUCUCACCAACAUGGUUUCCCAAUUAUGAACUGAACAAGGAUAACACCAGUGAACACAGCAAAUUGGAUGGAGAAAAUCCAUGAGGCUUCAACGCUACACAAAGAACUGAAGAAGUCUGGGAAUGGGACAAGGGGCCUUUCCCAGGGAAGAGCACGCCAAUUGGUUGUUCAGUACUAAAUGGUCAGCUUGACAAAAUUACAUACAGCAUUGUAUGGACUGUAAAAUUAUAUUUGGAACAUGUAUAUGUAUACCUACA